UGCGCAGGCGGGCUUGUAAGUCAGUGGUGAAAUACUGCCGCUCAACGGUAGAACUGCCAUUGAUACUGCAAGUCUUGAAUAUGGUUGAGGUAGGCGGAAUGUGUCGUGUAGCGGUGAAAUGCAUAGAUAUGACACAGAACGCCAAUUGCGAAGGCAGCGUACUAAGCCAUUAUUGACGCUGAGGCACGAAAGCGUGGGGAGCGAACAGGAUUAGAUACCCUGGUAGUCC
rnacentral:rRNA from 1 species